UUUCUCAUUUGACAACCCUAAUUUUAGAACCUGCCGCUGCAAUUCUUCUUGCCUUUAACCUCACGCUGUAACGGUGGAACAUUAAGAACCUGCAAAAGCUUCAUAUCUUUGGAUCCCAAAACCAUCGAUUUGUCUCAACCAAGUUCUUUUCAUGUUUGCUAGAUGUUUUUCAAAUCACAGAGCCUAGAUGGGGAUAUGAUUGAUUGUGUACACAUCUCUCACCGGCCCGCUUUUGAUCAUCCAUUUCUCAAAGACCCUUGAUAUUUUUGCAAUUAAUCAGGUACUUUAUUUGUACUCUAUCUUUGCCUACAUUUUUGUUGCUUUCCUUUUGUGAAAUUUAUAUUUUUAUUGUAUUAUGAUUCUUCACUGUAAUGUUUUUCUAUUUUACUUUUUUUAUUUGAACUAAAUGGGGAUUGUGAUAGAAUUUUUAGAACUCAGGGUAGGUUAAUUGGUAAUGGAAUGCAGUAGCCCCUUGAUAUGUGUACAUAUUGAUUUGUAUUCGCAUGUUGUUUGUACUAAAGUGUUUGGAUGCUUUUUGUAGAUGGGGUCUACGAACAAUCCAAAAAAUAAAUUGUAAUGACUUUUAUUUAAAUUUAUUGAUUUGAAAAUUAGAAGCCAGAGUCAACUGCUUUGUUACUUGAUGAGAUGACAAAAAAAAGGAUUCAACAGAAUGUUGUAACAUAUAGCUCGAUCGUAGAUGCUUUUGGGUAGUAUGGUGAAACUGUUUUAUCAAUUGAUGACAAUCGGGAAAUUUUGGAAUUGUAAAAAUGAUAAUAAAAAGGUUAAUAGCAGAGAUGAAGAUCGGAUAAUAAAGGUUUUGAGCAGUUAGCUUAUGGACAUUUGAAUAUUGAAGAAAAGAGUAGAAAGGAGGUUAUAUGUGUUUUCUGGAAGAUGCAUGAGCUGGAAAUUAAACCAAAUGGUGACGUGUUUGGCUAUUUUGAAUGAUUGUAGUUGUUGCAGUUCGUUUGAAGAAGCUUCAUUGCUAUUGGAAUAACUUAGUUUAUUUGAUAACCAAGUUGACGGUGUGGCCCAUGGGCGUUUGAUGGGCUAUAGAGAAAACGUCUGGUCCAUUCUCUCUCUUUUCAAUGAGGUCAAACUUAUGGAUUCUGCAACUGCAUCCGCUUCCAAAGAAGAAGACGAAGGCUUUGGGAAUGGCUAUUAAAGUUAUCGUCUAUUAUCAUCAAGCUCUUUAGUCCAAAACAGAUUAUGCCUAUUUUUAAAUUGCAGGCCAGUAAGCAAAGAUAGUGUACAACCACUCCAUGAAGUUGUCACCUUCAGGUUAAACGCACUCCAUGGAAGACACCAAUUUAAAAGGUAACGCGUUGAGUGGCAAGGGCAUUGGUACUAUGGUCCAUGCUAAGCAAUAUGGGAGUGACUUAGUUGAACCCAGGGUAUAAUCGACAAUUUAUACCACAACGUCAAGCCAAAACCGUUGAUUGUAGCAUUGUUGGGUUCUUUGAUAAAGAGUGGCUUUCAAAGCUUCUUAAGGUUUUGGGUUCAGACAUUGUUGAUGUAAUAACACUCCAUUUGUAUAAUUUGGACCAGUUUAGAACUAGGCCUCUCUGGAGGUCGCCAGUUCGAAACUGAGCUGAACCAGGUUUUACCGCAGUGGGCCUUCGAGCGGGCAUUUGAAGACACGUUCAAUCAAUUGAGCGACAUCAGUAAUCGUUCUUCACAUUGCCACUAGGUGGUUCCAGCUAUUUAAGUUGCAAGUUGCAUUAGCGGGGUUACAAGUGAAGAUCUCUCGGAGAGACCUGAAGCCCAAAUUGAUGAUCGCAACUGGUAGUAUGAAUCCAAUGAUCUGGACAAUGGUUCCACCUCCUUUUCAGCAGAUGGAACCUGCACCAUGGUUUCCACCACUUCGAUUUCAUCUUAAAGCGAUGGAUGUAGAAGACAGCUGUGUUAUUACUCAUGUUCAAUAUAAGCUCUUUCGUGUUCAUGUGAGCAAGAAGAGAGGAAGACACAAAGGAGGUGUGAAACAUAGUUCAGAUGAUACAGGUUCAGGUGUCAAAUUUGUAUCAUGUAAACUGUGUUUGACACAUCCUUUGUUUCUUUCUCUCUUCUUGCUCACAUGAACACGAAAGAGGUUAUCUUGAACAUGAUGUUAUCUAUUAAAGGAGCUUAUAUGAUGACAUAGAAUUGGCUACGUGUCAAUCUCUCAGCUAUGACAAGGUUUAAAGCUAUUGAAUGGCUUGAAAGUAUUUUUGAAUAAUGGAUGUGUUUUUUCACUUUACAAGCACACAUUUACCAUAGACUUAGUUUGGUCAGAUAAUUUGGAAUGGGUCCAACUGGUAAUCAAUUAUGGAUUUGAAGCAACAUAUCAAAGGGAAGUUGUUGAAGUUGGAGGUUGAUCAUCGAAAUACAUCAAGUUAUCAAGAUAUGAUUGUACAGAGGGAACUCAAUUUUGUAACUCGAAGGAUAUGCA
rnacentral:lncRNA from 1 species